rnacentral:rRNA from 1 species
GACGAACGCUGGCGGCGUGCUUAACACAUGCAAGUCGAACGGAAAGGCCCUGCUUUUGUGGGGUGCUCGAGUGGCGAACGGGUGAGUAACACGUGAGUAACCUGCCCUUGACUUUGGGAUAACUUCAGGAAACUGGGGCUAAUACCGGAUAGGAGCUCCUGCUGCAUGGUGGGGGUUGGAAAGUUUCGGCGGUUGGGGAUGGACUCGCGGCUUAUCAGCUUGUUGGUGGGGUAGUGGCUUACCAAGGCUUUGACGGGUAGCCGGCCUGAGAGGGUGACCGGCCACAUUGGGACUGAGAUACGGCCCAGACUCCUACGGGAGGCAGCAGUGGGGAAUAUUGCACAAUGGGCGGAAGCCUGAUGCAGCAACGCCGCGUGCGGGAUGACGGCCUUCGGGUUGUAAACCGCUUUCGCCUGUGACGAAGCGUGAGUGACGGUAAUGGGUAUAGAAGCACCGGCUAACUACGUGCCAACAGCCGCGGUGAUACCUAAGGUGCGAGCGUUGUCCGGAUUUAUUGGGCGUAAAGGGCUCGUAAGUGGGUGAUCGCGUCCGAAGUGUAAUCUUGGGGCUUAACCCUGAGCGUGCUUUCGAUACGGGUGACUGAGGGGAAGGUAGGGGAGAAUGGAAUUCCUGGUGGAGCGGUGGAAUGCGCAGAUAUCAGGAGGAACACCAGUGGCGAAGGCGGUUCUCUGGGCCUUUCCUGACGCUGAGGAGCGAAAGCGUGGGGAGCGAACAGGCUUAGAUACCCUGGUAGUCCACGCUGUAAACGGUGGGUACUAGGUGUGGGGUCCAUUCCACGGGUUCCGUGCCGUAGCUAACGCUUUAAGUACCCCGCCUGGGGAGUACGGCCGCAAGGCUAAAACUCAAAGGAAUUGACGGGGCCCCGCACAAGCGGCGGAGCAUGCGGAUUAAUUCGAUGCAACGCGUAGAACCUUACCUGGGUUUGACAUGGAUCGGGAGUGCUCAGAGAUGGGUGUGCCUCUUUUGGGGUCGGUUCACAGGUGGUGCAUGGCUGUCGUCAGCUCGUGUCGUGAGAUGUUGGGUUAAGUCCCGCAACGAGCGCAACCCUUGUUCACUGUUGCCAGCACGUUAUGGUGGGGACUCAGUGGAGACCGCCGGGGUCAACUCGGAGGAAGGUGGGGAUGACGUCAAGUCAUCAUGCCCCUUAUGUCCAGGGCUUCACGCAUGCUACAAUGGCUGGUACAGAGAGUGGCGAGCCUGUGAGGGUGAGCGAAUCUCGGAAAGCCGGUCUCAGUUCGGAUUGGGGUCUGCAACUCGACCUCAUGAAGUCGGAGUCGCUAGUAAUCGCAGAUCAGCAACGCUGCGGUGAAUACGUUCCCGGGGCU